UAAUGUUACUUAACUGUGUUAGUCUUACGGCCGUUUUCAAUAACCUAUCUAUCCCUAGUUUCGGUUACUAAAGAUAGACAAAUCUAUAUUUUUGUCCUUACUUACGUUCCAAUAACCUAUCGACGGGCAGCAGUUCCUAUCGGAUUUAUCUAUCCAUCGUCGGGAGGACGGAUAGCCUGCUAAAGAUAGAACGCUCAUACAAAUCGUGCUUACUUCCGUUUCAAUAUGAGUUUUAAGUAACUCUCCGGUAGGCGGCGCUAUCUCUAGUAUGGGCAUUCGCUUAUCUGUCAAAAUCGGCUGGUUACAUGUUUAUCUUUCGAAAGUAAAUCGCUUUAUUUUAAUAAUUGUUUCUCUUCAUAUUGGCAUAUUGUAGCAGUGAUGAUAGUGAUAUGGAAUUAUUUCAAAUGAUAAUGGAUUGUGAUGCAGAUAGUGAUAGUGAGGCCGAUAUCAUAUGGUUAGGAAAAUAAAGAUCGUCUGAAUUACAUGGCGAAGAUCAAUAAUUACGAAUUUGACUAUAGAUUUCUGAGCAAAGGUGUUGUGAAUGAAUUGAUUAAUUUAAUGAGACCAUAUUUGAGUGUAACGUCAAAAAGAUUCAAAUAUAGGAGAGGAAUUUUGAAAUAGAAAAAGAGUAUUUUGAAUGUGCAAUUUGUGUGCAAUGCAUCAUUGAUGUUUCAAAAUGUUGUUGCUUGAUGGCCUGGGUCUACUCAUGAUACAACUAUAAUUAACCAUUCCGAUUGAAAAGAUGCAUUGGUGUUUGUAAAAGAAGACUCCCUGUAUAUCAUUGAAAAGUAGAUUAAAACUAGAAAAUAUGCAAGCUGUUAUUAUAGCUGCCAUGCUGCAUAAUAUCGUCAGAAGUAUGAAUUUAGAAGAAUUAGAAUCAGAAAUUUCAGUCGCAGAUACAUUACAGGAAAAUAAUAUAAUUGUUCGUAACAAUUUUUCAAAACUUACAUCUGAAAUACAACUAUGUACUUAUAAAUAAUUGCUUCCAAAGAUAAUUUAUAAAAUAAACUCCAAAGAUAA